rnacentral:rRNA from 1 species
UACGUAGGUCCCGAGCGUUGUCCGGAUUUAUUGGGCGUAAAGCGAGCGCAGGUGGUUUAUUAAGUCUGGUGUAAAAGGCAGUGGCUCAACCAUUGUAUGCAUUGGAAACUGGUAGACUUGAGUGCAGGAGAGGAGAGUGGAAUUCCAUGUGUAGCGGUGAAAUGCGUAGAUAUAUGGAGGAACACCGGUGGCGAAAGCGGCUCUCUGGCCUGUAGCUGACACUGAGGCUCGAAAGCGUGGGGAGCAAACAGG